rnacentral:rRNA from 1 species
GAUGAACGCUGGCGGCGUGCCUAACACAUGCAAGUCGAGCGAGAAGGUGAUGACUGAUUCUUCGGAUGAAGGAUUCACUGGAGAGCGGCGGACGGGUGAGUAACGCGUGGGUAAUCUGCCCUGUGGAGGGGGAUAACAUUCUGAAAAGAAUGCUAAUACCGCAUAAGCAUACAAGAUCGCAUGAUCAAGUGUGAAAAACUCCGGUGCCACAGGAUGAGCCCGCGUAAGAUUAGCUAGUUGGUAAGGUAACGGCUUACCAAGGCAACGAUCUUUAGCCGACCUGAGAGGGUGAUCGGCCACAUUGGGACUGAGACACGGCCCAAACUCCUACGGGAGGCAGCAGUGGGGGAUAUUGCACAAUGGAGGAAACUCUGAUGCAGCAACGCCGCGUGAAGGAAGACGGUUUUCGGAUUGUAAACUUCUAUCAGCAGGAAGAAU